rnacentral:rRNA from 1 species
CAAUAGCGUAUAUUAAAGUUGUUGCGGUUAAAAGCUCGUAGUUGGAUUUCUGCGGGGGACGGACGGUCUACCCCACUGGGUAAGUAUCUGUCAGGCCCUUCGCAUCCCCACCAAAGAAACGUCGCUGCGCUUUAUUGCGUGGUACGGAAUUUGUUGACUUUUACUUUUGAGGAAAUUAGAGUGUUCACGGCAAGCAAACGCUUUGAAUAUGUUAGCAUGGAAUAAUAAUACAGGACCUUGGUACUAUUUUGUUGGUUUCUAGAACUAAGGUAAUGAUUAAUAGGGACAGUUUGGGGGUCGAUUUGUAUCAACACGUCAGAGGUGGAAUUCUUGGAUUGUGUUGCGACAAACUACUGCGAAAGCAUUUGCCAGGGAUGUUUUCAUUGAUCAAGAACGAAAGUAUGGGGA